rnacentral:rRNA from 1 species
GACGAACGCUGGCGGCGUGCCUAAUACAUGCAAGUAGAACGCUGAAGGAGGAGCUUGCUUCUCUGGAUGAGUUGCGAACGGGUGAGUAACGCGUAGGUAACCUGCCUGGUAGCGGGGGAUAACUAUUGGAAACGAUAGCUAAUACCGCAUAAUAGUAGAUGUUGCAUGACAUUUGCUUAAAAGGUGCAAUUGCAUCACUACCAGAUGGACCUGCGUUGUAUUAGCUAGUUGGUGGGGUAACGGCUCACCAAGGCGACGAUACAUAGCCGACCUGAGAGGGUGAUCGGCCACACUGGGACUGAGACACGGCCCAGACUCCUACGGGAGGCAGCAGGAGGGAAUCUUCGGCAAUGGACGGAAGUCUGACCGAGCAACGCCGCGUGAGUGAAGAAGGUUGUCGGAUCGUAAAGCUCUGUUGUAAGAGAAGAACGAGUGUGAGAGUGGAAAGUUCACACUGUGACGGUAUCUGACCAGAAAGGGACGGCUAACUACGUG